rnacentral:rRNA from 1 species
UACGUAGGGGGCAAGCGUUGUCCGGAUUUAUUGGGCGUUAAAGAGCGUGUAGGCGGCCUGACAGGUCUGCUGUGAAAACUCGAGGCUCAACCUCGAGACGUCGGCGGAAACCAUCUGGCUAGAGUCCGGAAGAGGAGAGUGGAAUUCCUGGUGUAGCGGUGAAAUGCGCAGAGUAUCAGGAAGAACACCCGUGGCUAAGGCGGUUCUCUAGUACGGUACUGACGCUGAGACGCGAAAGCGUGGGGAGCGAACAGG